AUUGAACGCUGGCGGCAGGCUUAACACAUGCACGUCGAACGAGUGGCGGACGGGUGAGUAAUGCUUGGGAAUCUAGCUUAUGGAGGGGGAUAACUAGGGGAAACUGGAUCUAAUACCGCGUCCCCAAGGAUGAUCCCAAGUGGGAAUAGGUAGUUGGUGAGGUAAAGGCCCACCAAGCCGACGAUCUCUAGCUGGUCAGAGAGGAUGACCAGCCACACUGGGACUGAGACACGGCCCAGACUCCUACGGGAGGCAGCAGUGGGGAAUAUUGCGCAAUGGGGGCAACCUGACGCAGUCAUGCCGCGUGAAUGAAGAAGGCCUUCGGGUUGUAAAGUUCUUUCGGUAGCGAGGCGUUAACUACAGAAGAAGCACCGGCUAACUCCGUGCCAGCCGCCGCGGUAAUUC
rnacentral:rRNA from 1 species